rnacentral:rRNA from 1 species
GACGAACGCUGGCGGCGUGCUUAACACAUGCAAGUCGAACGGAAAGGCCCUGCUUUUGUGGGGUGCUCGAGUGGCGAACGGGUGAGUAACACGUGAGUAACCUGCCCUUGACUUUGGGAUAACUUCAGGAAACUGGGGUUAUAACCGGAAGGGACCUCCGCUGCCAGGGGGGGGGUGGGAAAGUUUCGGCGGUUGGGGAUGGACUCGCGGCUUAUCAGCUUGUUGGUGGGGUAGUGGCUUACCAAGGCUUUGACGGGUAGCCGGCCUGAGAGGGUGACCGGCCACAUUGGGACUGAGAUACGGCCCAGACUCCUACGGGAGGCAGCAGUGGGGAAUAUUGCACAAUGGGCGGAAGCCUGAUGCAGCAACGCCGCGUGCGGGAUGACGGCCUUCGGGUUGUAAACCGCUUUCGCCUGUGACGAAGCGUGAGUGACGGUAAUGGGUAAAGAAGCACCGGCUAACUACGUG